AGAAUGGAGAGGGUAGAGAGAACAGAGAGUGAAGGAAGAAAGCUGAUCUUCAGCCUCCGUGUAAAACAUCAAGGAAGAAAUGAUCAAGAGAAUGGUGCAAUAAGUUCUGUACAGGAAAAGGGAAGCUUCCUGGAGGAAGUGGGCUUGAGCUGAAUCUUCCAGUAGUGGGGAAAAGAAAGUUGGAGUAUCUGGAAACCAACAGAACUUCCCUGCUUGUCAUGGCUCUUGAAAUUCAAGGAUUCCAGGAUAUAAAUUGUUUUGCUUCAGAAGUCAGGAACUGGUCCCAUCAUUGAGAAUUUCAUUUUGAAGAUAGGAGAAACGUUUUCAUCGACUCUGGAGAAUACACACCUGUGGAGUAGACACUAGGGAAAUUCUUAGACAGCUAUUUUGGCAAGCCUCCUGAGAGAGCUCAUGCAGCUCCACCUCCCAUCAUCUAAACAGCCUGCCUCUACAGGUGUAGGCUCAGAAUAGGUGUAAGUAAAUUGUUUGCAAAUCUG